CGAGUGGCGGACGGGUGAGUAACGCGUAAGAAUCUGCCUAGUACUGGGGGACAACUCGGGGAAACUCGAGCUAAUACCGCAUACGCCCUACGGGGGAAAGCGGGGGAUCUUCGGACCUCGUGCUAUUAAAUGAGCCUGCGUCGGAUUAGCUUGUUGGUAGGGUAACGGCCUACCAAGGCGACGAUCCGUAGCUGGUCUGAGAGGACGACCAGCCACACUGGGACUGAGACACGGCCCAGACUCCUACGGGAGGCAGCAGUGGGGAAUAUUGCACAAUGGGCGCAAGCCUGAUGCAGCAAUGCCGCGUGUGUGAAGAAGGCCUGCGGGUUGUAAAGCACUUUCAAUUGGGAGGAAAAGUUCAGAGUUAAUACCUCUGGACCUUGACGUUACCUUUAGAAGAAGCACCGGCUAACUCCGUGCCAGCAGCCGCGGUAAUACGGAGGGUGCAAGCGUUAAUCGGAAUUACUGGGCGUAAAGCGCGCGUAGGCGGCUAGAUAAGUCAGAUGUGAAAGCCCCGGGCUCAACCUGGGAACUGCAUUUGAAACUGUCUGACUAGAGUAUGGUAGAGGGAAGUGGAAUUCCAGGUGUAGCGGUGAAAUGCGUAGAUAUCUGGAGGAACAUCAGUGGCGAAGGCGACUUCCUGGACCAAUACUGACGCUGAGGUGCGAAAGCGUGUGUAGCAACAGGAUUAGAUACCCUGGUAGUCCACGCCGUAAACGACGAGUGGCGGCGAGUGGCGGCGAGUGGCGGCGAGUGGCGG
rnacentral:rRNA from 1 species